rnacentral:rRNA from 1 species
AAGAUUAAGCCAUGCAUGUCUAAGUAUAAGCAAUUUAUACAGUGAAACUGCGAAUGGCUCAUUAAAUCAGUUAUAGUUUAUUUGAUAAUACCUUACUACUUGGAUAACCGUAGUAAUUCUAGAGCUAAUACAUGCUAAAAAACCCGACUCUCGGAAGGGUUGUAUUUAUUAGAUAAAAACCAAUGCGGUCUCGGCCGGUUAUUUGGUGAUUCAUAAUAACUUUGCGAAUCGUAU